rnacentral:rRNA from 1 species
AGAGUUUGAUCAUGGCUCAGAUUGAACGCUGGCGGCAGGCCUAACACAUGCAAGUCGAACGGUAGCACAGAGAGCUUGCUCUCGGGUGACGAGUGGCGGACGGGUGAGUAAUGUCUGGGAAACUGCCUGAUGGAGGGGGAUAACUACUGGAAACGGUAGCUAAUACCGCAUAACGUCUUCGGACCAAAGUGGGGGACCUUCGGGCCUCACACCAUCGGAUGUGCCCAGAUGGGAUUAGCUAGUAGGUGGGGUAAUGGCUCACCUAGGCGACGAUCCCUAGCUGGUCUGAGAGGAUGACCAGCCACACUGGAACUGAGACACGGUCCAGACUCCUACGGGAGGCAGCAGUGGGGAAUAUUGCACAAUGGGCGCAAGCCUGAUGCAGCCAUGCCGCGUGUAUGAAGAAGGCCUUCGGGUUGUAAAGUACUUUCAGCGGGGAGGAAGGCGAUAAGGUUAAUAACCUUGUCGAUUGACGUUACCCGCAGAAGAAGCACCGGCUAACUCCGUGCCAGCAGCCGCGGUAAUACGGAGGGUGCAAGCGUUAAUCGGAAUUACUGGGCGUAAAGCGCACGCAGGCGGUCUGUCAAGUCAGAUGUGAAAUCCCCGGGCUUAACCUGGGAACUGCAUUUGAAACUGGCAGGCUAGAGUCUUGUAGAGGGGGGUAGAAUUCCAGGUGCAGCGGUGAAAUGC